rnacentral:rRNA from 1 species
UACGGGGGGGGCAAGCGUUGUUCGGAAUUACUGGGCGUAAAGGGCUCGUAGGCGGCCAACUAAGUCAGACGUGAAAUCCCUCGGCUUAACCGGGGAACUGCGUCUGAUACUGGAUGGCUCGAGAUUGGGAGAGGGAUGCGGAAUUCCAGGUGUAGCGGUGAAAUGCGUAGAUAUCUGGAAGAACACCAAUGGCGAAGGCAGCUCUCUGGGACGGUACUGACGCUGAGACGCGAAAGCGUGGGGAGCGAACAGG